rnacentral:rRNA from 1 species
UACGUAGGGGGGCUAGCGUUGUCCGGAAUCAUUGGGCGUAAAGCGCGUGUAGGCGGUCCGGUAAGUCCGCUGUGAAAGUCGGGGGCUCAACCCUCGAAUGCCGGUGGAUACUGUCGGGCUAGAGUGCGGAAGAGGCGAGUGGAAUUCCUGGUGUAGCGGUGAAAUGCGUAGAUAUCAGGAGGAACACCAAUUGCGAAGGCAGCUCGCUGGGACGCUACUGACGCUGAGACGCGAAAGCGUGGGGAUCAAACAGG